rnacentral:rRNA from 1 species
CAGCCGCCGCGGGAAAACGAAGGGUGCAAGCGUUACUCGGAAUUACUGGGCGUAAAGCGUGCGUAGGUGGUGGUUUAAGUCCGUUGUGAAAGCCCUGGGCUCAACCUGGGAAUUGCAGUGGAUACUGGAUCACUAGAGUGUGGUAGAGGAUAGUGGAAUUUCCGGUGUAGCAGUGAAAUGCGUAGAGAUCGGAAGGAACAUCUGUGGCGAAGGCGACUAUCUGGGCCAACACUGACACUGAGGCACGAAAGCGUGGGGAGCAAACAGGAUUAGAUACCCCCGUAGUCCCUGUCUCUUAUAC